rnacentral:lncRNA from 1 species
UAAUAUUUAAUUACCUAUUUCAAUAUAGUAAAACUUGAAUUAUAGUGUGAUAAUUAUACGAAGGAUUCGUAAAUAAAUUAAAUCUCAUCGAGGAAUGCAGUGUUACAAAAAAUCACCAGCUCAUUCGCUGGGCACCACCAACUGCAACCAAAAUUAUCACUUCCUCAUUCUAUACCCACUGAACACCUUAGCCUUUAAUAUCAUAUUCAACAUCACCAAGGUCUUGCAUACAUUAACCCACCAACAUGACACACCC